rnacentral:rRNA from 1 species
GACGAACGCUGGCGGCGUGCUUAACACAUGCAAGUCGAACGGAAAGGCCCUGCUUGCAGGGUACUCGAGUGGCGAACGGGUGAGUAACACGUGGGUGAUCUGCCCUGCACUUCGGGAUAAGCCUGGGAAACUGGGUCUAAUACCGGAUAGGAGCCAUUUUUAGUGUGAUGGUUGGAAAGUUUUUUUCGGUGUAGGAUGAGCUCGCGGCCUAUCAGCUUGUUGGUGGGGUAAUGGCCUACCAAGGCGGCGACGGGUAGCCGGCCGGAGAGGGUGGACGGCCACAUUGGGACUGAGAUACGGCCCAGACUCCUACGGGAGGCAGCAGUGGGGAAUAUUGCACAAUGGGCGCAAGCCUGAUGCAGCGACGCCGCGGGGGGGAUGACGGCCUUCGGGUUGUAAACUCCUUUCGCUAGGGACGAAGCUUUUUGUGACGGUACCUAGAUAAGAAGCACCGGCUAACUACGUG